AACGAACGCUAUCGGUAUGCUUAACACAUGCGAGUCGGACGGACUAAUUAGGGCUUGCUCCAAUUAGUUAGUGGCAGACGGGUGAGUAACACAUGGGAAUCUGCCCAUCAGUACGGAAUAACUUUUAGAAAUAAAAGCUAAUACCGUAUAUUCUCUACAGAGGAGAGAUUUAUCGCUGAUGGAUGAGCCCGCGUCAGAUUAGGUAGUUGGUGAGGUAACGGCUCACCAAGCUGACGAUCUGUAGCUGGUCUGAGAGGAUGAUCAGCCACACUGGGACUGAGACACGGCCCAGACUCCUACGGGAGGCAGCAGUGGGGAAUAUUGGACAAUGGGCGAAAGCCUGAUCCAGCAAUACCGAGUGAGUGAUAAAGGCCCUAGGGUUGUAAAGCUCUUUUAGCAAGGAAGAUAAUGACGUUACUUGCAGAAAAAGCCCCGGCUAACUCCGUG
rnacentral:rRNA from 1 species